rnacentral:misc_RNA from 1 species
CCGUAUAGUACGUAAGACCUAUUUAUAGCAUGGUUAUUUAGUUUGUUUCUUUAAAAUACAGACAUACGAGUACAAACAUGCGUUUUAACGGGAAUUUUACUUUUUAUGGAAGUAUCUAUAAUAACACGGAGAGGGCCGAUGCAGUCUUAAACAGUGGCAAAACACUUGAUGACAACUGGGAGUAUAACCCUGCUGUAUUUGUUACGCUCGCUGGCAUAGCUGUACUGGCUGUGAUUAUUUACCUUGCUGUGCACGUUUGCUCUGUGCGUAUUUUAUUUAUGUAUUUAUGGCUGAUUUACUCUGCGCCUGUGCUGGUUGCGGUCGUCUUGUGACUGGGUUCUGCUUCACUCAGCCCAUGUAUAGUAAAUAAUAUUAUGCUGGACUAUGUGAUCAGAUAAUAAAACGAAAUGAAUUUGAUAAGAUUUGCGCUGGAUUGUGAUAACUUGAUGUGUUAGCAGUAAGCAUAAAGAAUGACGAUGUGUGGAUGGCACCGCACUGUAUUUGUUUGAUGACCUACUGUUAUUAUGGUGAAAACGGGUAGUUUACUGAUGAAACAAAUAUUGUUUCAAGCUUAUUUAGUUUCACAUACUGUAGAAUUUCCAUAUGCUAAACGAAUACGGACAAUGAAAACUCUUUGUAAAUAUGUUAAAAACCUCCUGGCGCAUACACCACCUCCAUCCGCUUCACCGCCACCACCCGCGUCAACGACGGAUGAAUUAUUUAGUGUCUGUCUGUCCAUCUCGUCUAGACGAAUUAUUUUUCUGUAUAUGGCACCAUUGUUUCAUACUUAUAUGAUAUUCUGGUAUCUGACACAGGCUGCGAGACUCUGUUUCACUAUGUUAGGCAAAUCGCUGUAUCACCCAAGUCCUAAAAAUAUUUCAUAGAAUUUUAACCAUAUCAUAAAGUCUGGCGACACUCCGGUGAUAAAUACAUAUUCAACUUAGUAUACAAAUUCAACGAAUCUGCUUGAUUCGCACAUAAAGUAUUAGAUUUUUUUGUAAAAUUGUUUUUCAUAUAAGUUUUCACUUCCUUGUUCUAAUAGUAUAUUCGUAGUUUUGUACAUGAUCUGUCAAUUAAAUGCACUGAAGUAUU